GACGAACGCUGGCGGCGCGCUUAACACAUGCAAGUCGAGCGAGAACCAGGCCUUCGGGCCUGGGGACAGCGGCGAACGGGUGAGUAACACGUGGGUAAUCAACCCUCGGUACUGGGAUAGCCCGGGGAAACCCGGAUUAAUACCGGAUGGCCCUUCGGAUCUUCGGUUCUGAAGGAAAAGGUAGCUUCGGCCUCCGACCGAGGACGAGCCCGCGGCGGAUUAGCUUGUUGGUGGGGUAACGGCCUACCAAGGCGGCGAUCCGUAGCUGGUCUGAGAGGACGAUCAGCCACACUGGGACUGAGACACGGCCCAGACUCCUACGGGAGGCAGCAGUGGGGAAUCUUGCGCUAAUGCGGGAAACCGUGACGCAGCGACGCCGCGUGAGGGAAGAAGGCCUUCGGGUUGUAAACCUCUUUCAGGAGGGACGAAGCUACUCGGGUUAAUAGCCUAGAGGGUGACGGUACCUCCAGAAGAAGCCCCGGCUAACUACGUGCCAGCCGCCGCAGUAAUAC
rnacentral:rRNA from 1 species